UGGCCAUAAAGAUUUAAUUUUGGUGAUGUCGGGUUGUUGAGUGGGCUAUGGUUUGUCUUGUUGUAGGAAGCGUGGGGAAUUAUUUUGCCAGGAAACAAGAAAGGCUGUGGGACUCUGCUGGAACCUCUGCAACUGGUUGUCUUGUUUGAGGUGGGAGGAGAAAAGUUGCAGAGGAGUAAAAGACACAGUGUACAAGAAAAGUCAGGUCUGUGCAGCAGUGUUGGACAGCAUUUGACCGGGGCCCAAUUCAUCAUCAUCACCCAAUGUUAGGAGAUUACAAGGUCAAGAAAUGUGUAACCAGCUUGCGUUUUUUUGCGUUGUGGAAGUACUGUCUUGUUCCGUUUUUCUCUCCGUUUGCUUAGCAUUGGGAUUGGGACUCCAACUAUCAUAAUUUGGCAUUUCAUAAGGCCCCCAAAACAGUUGUAAUCAUGUGAGCUGCUAAUGUGUCUUCAGGCAAAAGCAUCCAAUUCAGUGGGGACC